AAUUCUCAACCUUUCUGGCUUUUUUUAAACAAAAGGCUGGUAUGGCUUGGAUUGUGGGAGUUGCUGGUUUCUUGCAGAUCAGCUCUUCUUAAAUGCAUUAGCGAAAUCCUUGCUGAACAUCUUUGGUAUGAUAAUUAUCUAUACCAAUUGAUAUAAUACAGCUUUCCACUUUGGCGGAUCAGGCUCCGCUUGGGAUUAAAUUUUCCAAGUGUUCGAUUCAACCGCUCUGAAGCACUAGCUUAGGCACAGAUGAGUUAGCUCGUCUGAUGGUGUUGAAUACUUCAGGUUGACGAAGCGAGGUGCUCUUUGGAGCGCUCACGAGAGCAAGCACUGUAAUCACAUCUUCUAUGUUGUGUUGUGCACUGUCAUAUUCCUGUUACCUACCCUAGCUACUAUGUGGCUUUUAUGGGUCUGGUCAAACCAUGACCUGAACAUAUCCUUAGUGGAAAGGAUCUUUGCUUCCAGUAUUUGUUCUUAGGAACAAACCUUUUGAUAAU
rnacentral:misc_RNA from 1 species